rnacentral:rRNA from 1 species
GACGAACGCUGGCGGCGUGCUUAACACAUGCAAGUCGAACGGUGAAAGCGGAGCUUGCUCCGCUGGAUCAGUGGCGAACGGGUGAGUAACACGUGGGCAACCUGCCCCUCACUUCGGGAUAACUCCGGGAAACCGGGGCUAAUACCGGAUAUGACCUCCUUGGGCAUCCUUGGAGGUGGAAAGUUUUUCGGUGAGGGAUGGGCCCGCGGCCUAUCAGCUUGUUGGUGAGGUAGUGGCUCACCAAGGCGACGACGGGUAGCCGGCCUGAGAGGGCGACCGGCCACACUGGGACUGAGACACGGCCCAGACUCCUACGGGAGGCAGCAGUGGGGAAUAUUGCGCAAUGGGCGCAAGCCUGACCCAGCGACGCCGCGUGAGGGAUGAAGGUCUUCGGAUUGUAAACCUCUUUCAGUAGGGAAGAAGCGAAAGUGACGGUACCUAAAGAAGAAGCACCGGCUAACUAUGUGCCAGCCGCCGCGGUAA